CUUGGAUAAAUAGAAAUUUAUUGAGUUUACACUUUUUGUAACAUACAGGAUAAAGAUUAUGAAAAUGUUAUAUAUUUAUGACCUAUGUCCUUAGGAUUAUCUCUUUUUUUUUUUUUUUUUUUGAUCGGUAGGAUUAUCUCUUUGACUAGAUGAUUGAGAAUGAGAACGUCAAAGCAAGUUUGACUAUUGAAAUAUAUAAAAUUAAUUGGAAGUAAUUUUUCUAGACCUACCUAAACAUGCACAAUUAUAACUGUUGAAUCAAACCGGAAAGUAAAGAAAAGGAAUAAAUCAAAUGAUGAACACUUGUUAUAGAUCAACGAAUAAAGCCACAAUUUUCAUAGUAAGAUCUUGAACUAAAACUUGAAGAGUAUUUGUCAUGCAUAAACAAGACUAAAAAUGACUUGGUAUUUACACUUGGAAGAAAAAUGUAGUAAAUCCAAGAACAAAAAUCCUCCCCUAAUUCUUGAAAUUUCUCUAAUCUUCUUCGUCCUUGUUUUGAUAAAUUUAAUCAUGCCAGCAAAGAAGCAUUACUAUACAUCUUCUCAUAAUGUAUAGCCUUCCUCUUUGUUCUUUGAGAAACCUUCCCAGUCUUCUGCUUGACUUUCUCUUCUUUGAUCCUUCUACAGAUUCACUGCUCAUCUUCAUAUAUGUAUAUAAGCACUUUUCACUGCUUCAAUAAUAGAUACAGAUCAGAAAAUUGCAGAUAUAUGGCUGAAGUGAAGUGAAGUGAGGUGAGGUUUAGCGCUAGUUUUUCUGAGAGUUAAGUGGGCUGUGUCUUCUAAUGCAACUGAGUCUU
rnacentral:lncRNA from 1 species